rnacentral:rRNA from 1 species
AUACAGAGGGUGCGAGCGUUAAUCGGAAUUACUGGGCGUAAAGCGCGCGUAGGCGGCUUAUUAAGUCAGAUGUGAAAUCCCCGGGCUCAACCUGGGAACUGCAUCUGAUACUGGUAAGCUAGAGUUUUGGAGAGGGAAGUAGAAUUUCAGGUGUAGCGGUGAAAUGCAUAGAGAUCUGAAGGAAUACCAGUGGCGAAGGCGACUUCCUGGCCAAAAACUGACGCUCAGGCGCGAAAGCGUGGGUAGCAAACGGGAUUAGAUACCCUAGUAGUCC